GUCGUGAGAUGUUGGGUUAAGUCCCGCAACGAGCGCAACCCUUGUCCUAUGUUGCCAGCGGGUAAUGCCGGGGACUCGUAGGAGACUGCCGGGGCCAACUCGGAGGAAGGUGGGGAUGACGUCAAGUCAUCAUGCCCCUUACGUCCAGGGCUGCAAACAUGCUACAAUGGCCGGUACAAAGGGCUGCUAUUCCGCGAGGAUGAGCGAAUCCCAAAAAGCCGGUCUCAGUUCGGAUUGGAGUCUGCAACUCGACUCCAUGAAGUCGGAGUCGCUAGUAAUCCCGAAUCAGCAACGUCGGGGUGAAUACGUUCCCGGGCCUUGUACACACCGCCCGUCACACCACGAAAGUCGGCAACACCCGAAGCCGGUGGCCCAACCGUAAGGAGGGAGCCGUCGAAGGUGGGGUCGGUGAUUGGGGUGAAGUCGUAACAAGGUAGCCGUACCGGAAGGUGCGGCUGGAUCACCUCCUUUCUAAGGAGUUCACUGCCUGCUCAUCAUCGAGCAGGUGACUCCCAGUCGAUCACUGGUUAAUCGGCAAUCCUGAAGCGCCCCAGUCGUAGGCCGUGCCUUUUCGAAGGCCAGUCCUCUUGGGUCGUGGACGGUGCGCCGGACUCCUCUGUUCCGUUCUCAAGGGGCGCCGCUCGAGGCGCCCUUUUCUUCGUCGCUCUUUGAGAAUUCCAUAGCGAGCACGAGCAUCUUUGUUCUCCAAGCUACAAAGAGCCAACGGUGAAUGCCUUGGCGCCUGAAGCCGAAGAAGGACGUGGGUGGCUGCGAUAAGCCACGGGGAGCUGCCGACCGAGCUUCGAUCCGUGGAUGU
rnacentral:sRNA from 1 species